rnacentral:lncRNA from 1 species
UCCAUAAACAGCUGGACUCCUCAGAGGCCCACUGCAACGGAGUCACAAUGAUUGAGGCCUCAGAAACCAUGUGUGGGGAGGCAAACAGAUGCCAUAGCAUGCUACAUGGAGAUCAGAAGACAACCAGCAUUAUUUAGUUUUCUCACCACACCAUGUGGAUCGUGGGACUCAAUUAAGGUUAUCAGGUUUGGCUGAAAGAACGUUUACCCAAUGAGUGAUGUCUCCAGCACCACCUCCUUAUAUUUCAGGACCAUGUGAUUCCCAUCAUGCACCAUGAAAAAAUGCAAGUGUAUCAGUUAGGAGUUGCUUAUGAGGUAAGGCUGCUCUGAGAGAUCCUGGGCUGAGAGCUGAAGCAGCAGGGUUCAUAAAAACCAGAGCCAAUGUGAGUCUGCCAGCUUGGGGCUCGGGAUCCAUCUAAAGACUACAGGGUCAAGAAAAGCCACAGAUAGAGGGAAGAGCCAUAGGACACACUGGGACCACUAAGGAGGAACUGUUUUCUGGCCAUCUUUACUGAUGUCCAGUCAGACAGUCUGUAGGCUACAAAGCUG